rnacentral:rRNA from 1 species
GAUGAACGCUGACAGAAUGCUUAACACAUGCAAGUCUUUGGCGAAGCUGUGCUUGCACAGCCUAGCCAAGGCGGACGGGUGAGUAACGCGUAAGGAACUUGCCCUGCAGUCAGGGAUAACAGACGGAAACGACUGAUAAGACCUGGUAAAGUCAGGCGGACUCAUGUCCAGCCUGAUGAAAAGAGAUGCUGCAGGAGAGCCUUGCGUCCUAUUAGCUUGUUGGUGGGGUAACGGCCCACCAAGGCGAUGAUAGGUAGCCGGCCUGAGAGGGUGGACGGCCACAAGGGGACUGAGAUACGGCCCUUACUCCUACGGGAGGCAGCAGUGGGGAAUAUUGGACAAUGGGGGCAACCCUGAUCCAGCAAUUCUGUGUGCACGAUGAAGGUUUUCGGAUUGUAAAGUGCUUUCAGCAGGCAAGAAAAAAAUGACGGUACCUGCAGAAGAAGCGACGGCUAAAUACGUG